UACGUAGGGGGCAAGCGUUGUCCGGAUUUAUUGGGCGUAAAGAGCGUGUAGGCGGCUAGGUAGGUCCGUUGUGAAAACUCGAGGCUCAACCUCGAGACGCCGAUGGAAACCAUCUGGCUAGAGUCCGGAAGAGGAGAGUGGAAUUCCUGGUGUAGCGAUGAAAUGCGCAGAUAUCAGGAAGAACACCCGUGGCUAAGGCGGCUCUCUAGUACGGUACUGACGCUGAGACGCGAAAGCGUGGGGAGCGAACAGG
rnacentral:rRNA from 1 species